AACGAACGCUGGCGGCGUGCCUAACACAUGCAAGUCGAACGCGAAAAGCAGUAAUGCUGAGUAGAGUGGCGCACGGGUGAGUAACACGUAAAUGACAUGUCCUUGAGACGAGGAUAACCAGCCGAAAGGCUGGCUAAUACUCGGUAAGCCCACGUCUUUGGAGAUGAGGGAAAAGGGUCGGGAACCUUAGGGUCCGAUCGCUUGAGGAGUGGUUUGUGGCCCAUCAGGUAGUUGGCGAGGUAACGGCUCACCAAGCCUAAGACGGGUAACGGGUCUGAGAGGAUGAUCCGUCACACUGGAACUGAGACACGGUCCAGACUCCUACGGGUGGCAG
rnacentral:rRNA from 1 species